UUUAUUUAUCCAUAAUAAGGAAGCUAUCUCUGGAACCACACCUUGUAAUCUAGUAAUGGCGCGGGGGAUGGAGGGUGAGAAAGAAAACGAGAGAGUGGUGAUUCAGUUUCCCCAUCUAGUAGAACAGAGACCCAGGCAAUAGAGAGAAUGUCUUGACAGCAUUCAUCAAACAGAAUAAGAGGAAGAAGGAAGAGAUGGAUAUAAUGCCCACCUCGGAACUGUGUUCCUUGCAGAUGAAUCCAACAGUGGACAUGAGCCUUCAGGCAAAGUAGCUACCUUCCUUACCACAUUUCCCGAUAUUUUUAAUAAGUUCAUGGUUGUAUGUAUUUUUACACAUACACACCCAAAAAGCACUGAAGAAUGAAUAUAUCUGUGUUUGUUGCUGAGGAUACAAAAGCAAACAAGAGACCAUUCCUGCCUUCAAAAAGUUCACAGUCCAGUCGGUUCAGAUCCGAGAACCUCAGGCCUGAGAACCUCCAUGACUCAGAGAAAAGUUUCCAGUUUCUGCCACGGUGGAACACCUGCAGGCGUCUUAGGAUGUCCUCUUGUCUCCAGCCUCCCUCUGCUUUUGGUCAACACUGCCCAUUCUUCGUCUUCUGGUUGACCUUAGCAUGGCUACCUUCACCCCCUCAACGCCCUCCUGUCUUCACCAGACUGGUUUUGGGUGAUCCUCUGAGCCUUCUAUAGUGUUCUCUGUGUGCUCUUUCACAGCUCCUGUUACUGACUUUGCUCUCAGAAGUAGUUCAUGUGCUGACACAAUUAUAGAGCAAGAUACAAUUAAUUUCAAAGCAAUUUUCAAAGAAUUGCGAAGAUGCCCACAUAUGCAAAUUAGUUAAAUAUUUAAAAUAAAGAGAUAAUAAGGGACAGGACUGAUCUGAAAGUUUUAACAGAGGAGGUUUGACCUCAGUCCCAAAGGAGUUGCCACAGUAGCUCUGCAGCAACCAGCCUGGAAGAUUAAGGGGCUGGUUGGCCAUGAGCCAGUGAUGUGGAUUGUAAGUCAUUGCCUCUUACCAACUAAGUGAUCUUGGAGAAGUCAUUGACCUGUGUGAGCCAUAAAUACAUCCCUUCCUGUCCUCAAAUUCAGUGACUCUUCAGUGUUUGAACUCCUCAGGUCCAUCAUGGGUUUUGUGGAUCAGUUUUUUGUUGUUGUUUUGUUUUGUUUUGUUUUUGUUUUUGUUUUUUAAAUUGAGACAACAUAUGCAAGAAUGACAAUCUUUUGUCAGGUUAGGACAUUUAAAAAAUUAUAAGAUAUGACACUAAUAUUUUAUUAAAUAAAGGAUAUUUUAACAUCCAAACCAAAUUAAGUAGAAAAAUUUAUUUUAAUAAAAGGGCAUGUGUACAUAUAUAGGUAAAUAUAAACAAAACUCCUUAUGCGCUGAUACUGUUGUUUGCUAAGUUUGCUGCAGUGUAGCAGAAAAUAUUCCUAGCUGAGGAUGAGCAGGGGAUUAAAAGGUGAUUGCUGAUGUUGAGGGCAGGAGCCUAAUCCCAGGGCACAGUGUCAAGAGCUAGGAAAGAGUUGGAGGCCUCAUUUACUGACCCCAGUGGAAGACUGGAGUCUCUUUCUCCUUGAGGCACUCAUCAGGUGAGUUGGAAGAGUUUUCUAAACAUCAUGAUGAAGCCAGGAAACACUUUCCUACUCAUUAAACUUCUCAUAUGAGUUUAAUACAUUUAUUUACAAAACCUUUAGGUAGUGCUUUGUAGUAAUUUCCGUGGCGUUCUAAAAUACAGCAGUCUAUGGUGAUUCAGGAAGCAAUGAUGAUUUGUAUCAAUUUAAUUGUCUCUUUUGAUACUUGAUAUCCACAGCAAACAUCUUGUUCUGCUUUGUUCUCUGUGGCUAGUGUUACUGUAUACAUCCCAUAUGGGAGUUAAGGUUGUGGGUGAAUGAAUGAAGGAAAAGGCAUUCAGACUAA